rnacentral:rRNA from 1 species
GAGUUUGAUUAUGGCUCAGGAUGAACGCUGGCGGUAUGCCUAACACAUGCAAGUCGAACGGGCUCUUCGGAGCUAGUGGCGGACGGGUGAGUAACACGUGAGAAUCUGCCUUCAGGACGGGGACAACAGUGGGAAACCACUGCUAAUACCGGAUAAGCCGAAAGGUGAAAAAUUUAUUGCCAGAAGAGGAGCUCGCGUCUGAUUAGCUAGAUGGGGAGGUAAAAGCUCACCAUGGCGACGAUCAGUAGCUGGUCUGAGAGGAUGAGCAGCCACACUGGGACUGAGACACGGCCCAGACUCCUACGGGAGGCAGCAGUGGGGAAUUUUCCGCAAUGGGCGCAAGCCUGACGGAGCAAUACCGCGUGAGGGAGGAAGGCUUUUGGGUCGUAAACCUCAAAAAUUAGGGAAGAAGAAAGUGACGGUACCUAAUCUAAGCAUCGGCUAACUCCGUGCCAGCAGCCGCGGUAAUACGGAGGAUGCAAGCGUUAUCCGGAAUCAUUGGGCGUAAAGAGUCCGUAGCGGCUAGUCAAGUCUGCUGUCAAAGACCGAAGCUUAACUUCGGACUGGCGGUGGAAACUGAAAAGCUAGAGUACAGAAAGGGUAGAGGGAAUUCCCAGUGUAGCGGUGAAAUGCGUAGAGAUUGGGAAGAACACCAGUGGCGAAUGCGCUCUACUGGGCUUGUACUGACGCUGAGGGACGAAAGCUAGGGUAGCGAAAGGGAUUAGAUACCCCCUGUAGUCUUAGCAGUAAACGAUGGAAUACUAGGCGUAGCCUCGUAAUCGAACCCCGGAGGCU